rnacentral:rRNA from 1 species
UAGUCCACGCCCUAAACGAUGAAUGUUAGUCGUCGGGUAGCUAGUCUAUUCGGUGAUGCAGCUAACGCAUUAAACAUUCCGCCUGGGGAGUACGGUCGCAAGAUUAAAACUCAAAGGAAUAGACGGGGACCCGGCACAAGUGGUGGAGCAUGUGGUUUAAUUCGAAGAUACGCGAAGAACCUUACCUAGCCUUGACAUAUUUUAGAACACUUUAGAGAUAGAGUGGUGCCUUCGGGAGCUAAUAUACAGGUGCUGCACGGCUGUCGUCAGCUCGUGUCGUGAGAUGUUGGGUUAAGUCCCGCAACGAGCGCAACCCUCGUCACUAGUUACUAACGGUUCGGCCGAGGACUCUAGUGAGACUGCCUUCGCAAGGGAGGAGGAAGGGUGAGGGACGACGUCAAGUCAUCAUGGGCCCUUACGGGCUAGGGGCAACACACGUGCUACAAUGGGCCAGGGACAAUGGAG